rnacentral:miRNA from 1 species
GAAUGACGCCGGGUCUGAAAG